UACGGAGGGUGCAAGCGUUAUCCGGAUUCACUGGGUUUAAAGGGUGCGUAGGUGGGUUGGUAAGUCAGUGGUGAAAUCUCCGUGCUUAACAUGGAAACUGCCAUUGAUACUACUGAUCUUGAAUUUUCAGGAGGUAAGCGGAAUAUGUCAUGUAGCGGUGAAAUGCUUAGAUAUACAUAGAACACCAAUUGCGAAGGCAGCUUACUACAGGAAUAUUGACACUGAUGCACGAAAAGCGUGGGGGAUCAAACAGG
rnacentral:rRNA from 1 species